rnacentral:misc_RNA from 1 species
GCAGCUCUGGAGAAUUCUCAGCAAAACUUGAGUCAAAAUACAUAAAAAAGGAACAUAUAAAAUAAGCAAUAAAUGUACCAACUGAAAACAUAAUAUUAGAAAGAAAAUUCCUUCUUUGAUGAUCAAAAUCUGACAGAAGAUUAAGAGGGGAAAGGACCAUUCAUUGAAUCACAUUCAUAAUCUCGAAGAAAAGAAACUAUAAAUUAACUUUCCCUUAAGAUGAAAAUUUUUACACCAAGAACCAACCCUCUUACAGAUUUUGCAAAAUAGUUGAAAGAAAAAGAAUGUUCCAAGAAAAAGACAGUGAACUUGAAGAAUAUCUAAUGAUAAAUUCCUCUAAUAUAUUCGAAAGG